rnacentral:rRNA from 1 species
UGAGGAAUAUUGGUCAAUGGACGCAAGUCUGAACCAGCCAAGUAGCGUGCAGGAUGACGGCCCUAUGGGUUGUAAACUGCUUUUAUAUGGGGAUAAAGUGGGGAACGUGUUCCCUUUUGCAGGUACCAUAUGAAUAAGGACCGGCUAAUUCCGUUCCAGCAGCCGCGGUAAUACGGAAGGUUCGGGCGUUAUCCGGAUUUAUUGGGUUUAAAGGGAGCGUAGGCCGUUUGGUAAGCGUGUUGUGAAAUGUAGGAGCUCAACUUCUAGAUUGCAGCGCGAACUGUCAGACUUGAGUGCGCACAACGUAGGCGGAAUUCAUGGUGUAGCGGUGAAAUGCUUAGAUAUCAUGAAGAACUCCGAUUGCGAAGGCAGCUUACGGGAGCGCAACUGACGCUGAAGCUCGAAGGUGCGGGUAUCGAACAGG